AAAUCCAUUUAAUUAUCAAAAUCCAUUUAAUUACCCCAAAAUCCAUUUAAUUAUCAAAAUCCAUUUAAUUAUCCCCAAAAUCCAUUUAAUUAUCCCCAAAUCCAUUUAAUUAUCCCCAAAAUCCAUUUAAUUAUCCCCAAAUCCAUUUAAUUAUCCCAAAAUCCAUUUAAUUAUCCCAAAAUCUCCCCCAAUUACCCCACAAUCUAUUUAAUUACCCCAAAUCCAUUUAAUUAUCCCCAAAAUCCAUUUAAUUACCCCAAAAUCCAUUUAAUUAUCCCCAAAUCCAUUUAAUUACCCCAAAAUCCAUUUAAUUAUCAAAAUCCAUUUAAUUACCCCAAAAUCCAUUUAAUUAUCAAAAUCCAUUUAAUUAUCCCCAAAAUCCAUUUAAUUAUCAAAAUCCAUUUAAUUAUCCCCAAAAUCCAUUUAAUUAUCCCAAAAUCCAUUUAAUUAUCCCCAAAAUCCAUUUAAUUACCCCAAAUCCAUUUAAUUACCCCAAAAUCCAUUUAAUUAUCCCAAAAUCCAUUUAAUUAACCCCAAAAUCCAUUUAAUUAUCCCCAAAAUCCAUUUAAUUACCCCCAAAAUCCAUUUAAUUAUCCCAAAAUCCAUUUAAUUAUCCCCAAAUCCAUUUAAUUAACCCACAAUCCAUUUAAUUACCCCAAAAUCCAUUUAAUUAUCUCAAAAUUCACAUUAAUUAUCCCAAAAUCUCCUUUAAUUACCCCAAAAUUCCCCGUUUUUAACCCAAAAUCCUCCUCAAUUACCCCAAAAUCCAUUGAAUUACCCUGAAAUUCCCGUUUUUUUCCCCCAAAUUCCCGUUUUUUUGUUAUUUUUAUGAAUUUUCCCAAUUUCCCAUUUUUUUGCCCCAUUCCAGGCCCCCUGGGCCGGGCCGGGUUCGGUUCCGGAGGCUCCGGCUGUCGAUGUUUUAUUGAUUUUCCCAAAUUCCCCUCAUUUUCACCCAAAAUUCCCGGGUUUUUUUAUGAAUUUCCCCAAAUUCCCGUUUUUUGUUAUUUUUAUGAAUUUUCCCAAUUCCGGGUGUUUUUGCCCCAUUCCAGGCCCCCUGGGCCGGGCCGGGUUCGGUUCCGGAGGCUCCGGCGGCCGCGGCGGCUUCAGCGGUGGGGGAGGGGCGCAGCAGCGAGCGGGGGACUGGAAAUGCCCCAACCCGUGAGUGCCAAACUGGGUUAUACUGGGUUAUACUGGUUUAUACUGGGUUAUACUGGGAUUGAUUGGGGUAUACUGGGAUUGACUGGUUUAUACUGGGAUUGACUGGUUUAUACUGGUUUGGGCUGGUUUGGACU
rnacentral:lncRNA from 1 species